GGAGACGGGGGCUUCAUCUGCAAUUUAUGAAAUUUUAGGGGGCUGCCUACAAUUAAAGAAUAUGGGUGGUUUUGCAAUUUUAAAUUAAGGGCUGCUCCGUAAUUUUAGAAAUUUGGAGGGGCCGCCCGCAAUAAAGAAUAUGGGGUCAGUUUGCAAUUUUUGAAAAAGGACCUGUUCCGUAAUUUACGAAAUUAAGGGACUCUGUUGGAAAUUUUAAACUAGGGUCAAUUUGCAAUUUUGAAAAGGUAGUUUUGAAUUUAAUUUCAAAAUGGUUUUAAAUUUGUUUUUAAAUGUGUUUGACCUAAAAUUUCAAAUUGGACCCGUUUAAAAUUUUAAUUUAAAUUGACGAUUUUUAUAUUUUCGUUAAAAUAUGAUUUUAACUUAAAUAUUAAAUUUGACCCUAAAUUGAAUUUUAUUUUAUUUAGGAGUUUCAUCUUAUAUUAAAAUAUUAAUUCAAUUUAAAUUAAAGUUUGACUUUAAU
rnacentral:lncRNA from 1 species